CGAUCCGGGUUUAAAACCACCAAAGAAGAAACCAGGAAACGCCUUCUGUUAUGAACCUGACAUCCACGGGUCAGAGAACCAGUCCCGAUUCAGUCCGGGAUCUAUAAUCACACCUAAUGAUCCUCUAUCACCUCUAAAGGCUGCACUGCCAUGCAGACUACGUGGUUUAAACAGGCGGUCGACCGUCGCUUGUGGGUCACGUGUCUGUCAAUUUCAUCCAGACCUGCAUUCACACCUGUUGGCGGGUCGUGGAGCGGUUCUAGACCUGUUGGGGGGUCGUGGACCGGGUCUAGACCGCCCUGCACCCCUACUUGGGGGACGUGGACUAGAUCUACCUGCACCCAUGCUGGGGGGUCGUGGAUCCGACCCGUAGGGUUUGACACCGGGGUGAAGACCUACAACAGUCUGACCCGACGGAAGGAGCCCCUCAUUCUGACGCGGGACCGGGUCGCCACCUGGUACAGCUGCGGCCCCACGGUCUACGACCACGCCCACCUCGGCCAUGCGUGCUCGUACGUCCGCUUCGACAUCCUCCAGAGGAUUCUGUCCCGGGUGUUUGGGGUCAGCGUCGUCCACGCGUUGGUCAUCACCGACAUCGACGACAAGAUCAUCAAGAGGAGCCAGGAGGAGAACAUGUCUCCCACGAUCCUGGCCAGGAUAUACGAAGAAGAAUUCAAGAAGGACAUGCUGUCAUUGAAGGUCCUAACUCCCACGGUGUACUUGAGAGUGACUGAAAACGUGCCUCAGAUCGUGGCGUUUAUCGAGCGCAUCGUGGCUAACGGUCACGCCUACCCCACGCAGAAAGGUGACGUGUACUUCGACAUCCGGAGUAUCGGCCAGCGCUACGGGAAGUUCUCCGGUUCCGUCGAGCUACCCAGCGAAUCCGCGGACUCCGAUAAACGUGACGCGCGGGACUUCGCCCUCUGGAAGGCCGCCAAGCCGGGGGAGCCGUCCUGGGACUCCCCCUGGGGUGGGGGGAGACCGGGCUGGCACAUCGAGUGCUCCACCAUCGCCAGCUCAGUAUUUGGCAGCCAGCUGGACAUCCACUCUGGGGGGGUGGACCUGGCCUUCCCCCACCACGAGAACGAGGUGGCCCAGAGCGAGGCCUACCACCGCUGCCCCCAGUGGGGGAACUACUUCCUGCACUCAGGUCACUUGCAUCUCAAAGGGAGUGCCGAGAAAAUGUCCAAAUCCUUGAAGAACUUCAUCACGAUAAAGGAGUUCCUGCGGUCGUACUCUGCCCAUGAGUUCAGGAUGUUCUGCCUGCUGACGAAAUACAGAUCAGCGAUCGACUUCAGCGAGGGCAGCAUGCUUGCGGCCCGCAGCCAGCUGGGGGCGCUGGUGACCUUUGACCACGGGGCCCAGGCCUACCUGAGGGGCCAGCUGCUCUGCCCCCCCCUGGACCCGGACCGGCUCUGGGACAAGCUGGCGGAGGUCAAAGGUCAGGUGCUGGACGCCCUGGCGGACGACUUCGACACGCCCCGUGCAGUGCACGCCGUCAUGGACCUAGUUUCCCAUGGCAACCGCCAGCUGCAGCCCGUCGCCGAGGCUGACGGUGCGGCCCGCAGCCCGGCGGUGGUGGGGGCGGUGCUGGCCUACGUCAGGGAGCUGUUCGGUCUGCUAGGCGUCGACCUGCUGGACAGACAGGAGGAGGGGCUCUCCGGCUCCUCCCCCGUCGUUGUGGAUACUGUGGUGGAGCAGCUGUGUCAGUUCCGGAGCCGCGUGCGGAGCUUCGCCCUGGCCCCGUGGGAGGCCCCGCCCCCCCAGGGCCCCGGCUCCGCCUCCGCUAGGCCCCGGACCCGCCCGGACCGGCUCCCCCUCCUGGAGGCCUGCGACGCCCUCAGGAAGGACCUGGCGCCCGCGGGCGUGCUGAUCAAGGACCGAGGGGCGACCUCCACCUGGGAGCUGACCAGGAGGGCUGCCCAGGAGAAGGACCAGGACCAGGACUAGAUCAGGACCAGGACCUAGACCAGGACUAGACCAGGACUAGACCAGGACCAGGACUAGAACCAGGACCAGGACUAGACCAGGACUAGAACCAGGACAGGACUAGACCAGGACCCGGACUAGACCAGGACUAGACCAGGACUAGGACUUGAACCAGGACCAGGACUAGACCAGGACCUAGACCAGGACUAGAACUAGAACCAGGACCAGGCCUAGACCAGGACCAGGACUAGAUCAGGACCAGGACUAGGACCAGGACUAGAACCAGGACCCCCCCCCCCCCAGCGUCUGUUUUAUCGGGGUACGUUUGCUGACCAUCGAUUGGACGAGGUUCAUUGAAGUCAAAGUCUUAUAAACUCGUUAAUAUCCGACAGACAUUUCUGCUCUUGAGUCGACUUGAGGCCCUUUAAAAUGUGGAAGGAUCGAUGAAAUUAUCAAAAGAAUUGAUUAGAGGGGACUGAAACCAACGUAACUGGAAGUUUUUUAGGUAAAAUGGUAAAAUGUUAGGGUCAAAUCCAUGUUGGGGUCUUCAUGGAAGUCAGACCACUGUAUCUGUUGAUUGUCAGUCACUAAACUUCCAACCCUGUUGAGAAAUGAAACCUUGUUACACAGAACUCUUUAUUUAAUGUGCAAUCGUGUUUAUUGAUUUCAUCAUCCUCACACAUCGGACGCCGUUUCGUUUGUUACCUCAAUCAUUUGUUUUAAAAUGACAAAUCCAAUUAACGGCAGAACUCCAGUUGGCAAUCUGAAAAUGUUGUCAACAAAUCAAAUAAAACGUACAAACAGC